UGCAAGUCGAACGGUGAUGACGGGGCUUGCUCUGUCUGAUCAGUGGCGAACGGGUGAGUAACACGUGAGUAACCUGCCCCCGACUCUGGAAUAACCGUGGGAAACGACGGCUAAUACCGGAUAUGAGACGCACGGGCAUCUGUGUGUCUGGAAAGAUUUAUCGGUCAGGGAUGGACUCGCGGCCUAUCAGCUUGUUGGUGGGGUAAUGGCCUACCAAGGCGACGACGGGUAGCCGGCCUGAGAGGGCGACCGGCCACACUGGGACUGAGAUACGGCCCAGACUCCUACGGGAGGCAGCAGUGGGGAAUAUUGCACAAUGGGCGCAAGCCUGAUGCAGCGACGCCGCGUGAGGGAUGAAGGCCUUCGGGUUGUAAACCUCUUUCAGCAGGGAAGAAGCGCAAGUGACGGUACCUGCAGAAGAAGCGCCGGCUAACUACGUGCCAGCAGCCGCGGUAAUACGUAGGGCGCAAGCGUUGUCCGGAAUUAUUGGGCGUAAAGAGCUCGUAGGCGGUUUGUCGCGUCUGCUGUGAAAACCUGAGGCUCAACCUCGGGCUUGCAGUGGGUACGGGCAGACUAGAGUGCGGUAGGGGUGACUGGAAUUCCUGGUGUAGCGGUGGAAUGCGCAGAUAUCAGGAGGAACACCGAUGGCGAAGGCAGGUCACUGGGCCGCAACUGACGCUGAGGAGCGAAAGCAUGGGGAGCGAACAGGAUUAGAUACCCUGGUAGUCCAUGCCGUAAACGUUGGGCACUAGGUGUGGGGCUCAUUCCACGAGUUCCGUGCCGCAGCAAACGCAUUAAGUGCCCCGCCUGGGGAGUACGGCCGCAAGGCUAAAACUCAAAGAAAUUGACGGGGGCCCGCACAAGCGGCGGAGCAUGCGGAUUAAUUCGAUGCAACGCGAAGAACCUUACCAAGGCUUGACAUACACCGGAAAAGUGCAGAGAUGUGCUCCCCGCAAGGUCGGUGUACAGGUGGUGCAUGGUUGUCGUCAGCUCGUGUCGUGAGAUGUUGGGGUUAAGUCCCGCAACGAGCGCAACCCUCGUCCUAUGUUG
rnacentral:rRNA from 1 species